AUUGAACGCUGGCGGCAUGCCUUACACAUGCAAGUCGAACGGUAACAGGUCUUCGGAUGCUGACGAGUGGCGAACGGGUGAGUAAUACAUCGGAACGUGCCCGAUCGUGGGGGAUAACGCAGCGAAAGCUGUGCUAAUACCGCAUACGAUCUACGGAUGAAAGCGGGGGAUCGCAAGACCUCGCGCGGACGGAGCGGCCGAUGGCAGAUUAGGUAGUUGGUGGGAUAAAAGCUUACCAAGCCGACGAUCUGUAGCUGGUCUGAGAGGACGACCAGCCACACUGGGACUGAGACACGGCCCAGACUCCUACGGGAGGCAGCAGUGGGGAAUUUUGGACAAUGGGCGCAAGCCUGAUCCAGCCAUGCCGCGUGCAGGAUGAAGGCCUUCGGGUUGUAAACUGCUUUUGUACGGAACGAAAAAGCUCUCUCUAAUACAGGGGGUGAAUGACGGUACCGUAAGAAUAAGCACCGGCUAACUACGU
rnacentral:rRNA from 1 species